rnacentral:snRNA from 1 species
AUCCUAGCUUUGAUAGUACAUAUACUGAAAUUGGCAUGAUACAGAGAAGAUUAGCAUGGCCCCUGCUCAAGGAUUACACACAAAUUCAUGAAGUGUAACAUAUUUUU